rnacentral:misc_RNA from 1 species
UGUGGGAGCGAGCCUGCUCGCGAUGGCGUCAAUUCAGCCAGUCAUGCAUCGGCUGACACUCCGCCAUCGCGAGCAGGCUCGCUCCCACA